GCAGACACAUUCCAGCCGAUCAGCAGCAGACCCUCCCUCCCAGACCCUCCCACCUCCUGGACAGCAUCCAUUUUGCAGCUGCAUUCUUAGUGAGCUGUCCAGGAGGUGGGAGGGUCUGGGAGGGAGGGUCUGCUGCUGAUUGGCUGGAAUGUGUCUG